rnacentral:rRNA from 1 species
UACGUAGGGGCAAGCGUUGUCCGGAUUCAUUGGCGUAAAGCGCGUGUAGGCGGCCAGGUAGGUCCGGUGUGAAACUCGACGGCUCAACCUCGAGAGGUCAUCGGAACCAUCUGGCUAGAGUCCGGAAGAGGAGAGUGGAAUUCCCGGUGUAGCGGUGAAAUGCGCAGAUAUCGGGAGGAACACCAGUACGCGAAGGCGGCACUCUGGCCGGUACUGGACGCUGAGGAGCGAAGCGUGGAGCGAACGAGG